GCUGGCAUGGUGUAGGGGGUUGAACACUGGACUAGGACUCCAGAGACCAGGGUUUGAAUCCCAGCUCAGCC